rnacentral:rRNA from 1 species
ACACGACUACAUUAGAUACCCCUGUAGUCCUAGGCGUAAAUGAUGCGAGUUAAGUNUGGGGGCAUCUACGAGAUGGCCCUGUGCUGUAGGGUAGCCGUUAAACUCGCUGCCUGGGGAGUACGGUCGCAAGGCUGAACUUAAAGGAAUUGGCGGGGGAGCACCACAAGAGGCGGAGGCUGCGGUUCAAUUGGACUCAACGCCGGAAACUCAUCGGGAGCGACAGCAGUAUGAUUGCCAGGUUGAUGACCUUGCUUGACAAGCUG